rnacentral:misc_RNA from 1 species
UUGUAGGCGUGACCGUCCUC